rnacentral:rRNA from 1 species
GGGAGCUAAAGUGAUUAUAUACCCCUGUAGUCCUGGCAGUAAAAGUUUCACGCUUGGUGUGCGGGGAAUCGACCCCCUGAGUGCCGGAGCUAACGAGUUAAGCGUGCCGCCUGGGGAGAACGGUCGCAAGAUUAAAACUCAAAGAAAUUGACGGGGCCAGCUGAAGGCGGGCGAGACCGUGG